UUCCAUUGUGGUGAUGGUCUUCCGUCCAUUUGCAUGAACUUCUUUAUGCACUCCCAGCUCCUUGGGUUGGAUCAGUGGCGGGUAAUGGCCUUUGUUGUGCUGCUUCUGGUCUUACCUCUGUUAAAUUCUGAUGACUUCAUAAAAUUCAAGCUCCCUGGAUUGGCCAAACCAAUGCUGCAGAGAGGCCUAAAUGGAUGAAAAUCAGCUCGCUUGAUGAAUUAAAGACGAAAGUUGGACAUGUCAUUGUCAUGAUUCUUCUUGUGAAGAUGUUUGAGAGGAGCAAGAUGGUGACUAUAGCCACUGGUCUGGAUUUAUUAAGCUACUCCGUAUGUAUUUUCUUAUCUUCUGCUUCCUUGUACAUCCUUCAUAAUUUGCACAAGUCAGACUAAAUUGUCAAAUGAAAAUAUGUUCUGAUAACAUGUAAAAAUUGAAAUUAUCAAUGGAAAUAAUGUAAUAAAUAAUGUUUGAUAUGUUUG